UUCUGGGUGGUGUCGCGCCGUGGGCCCCGGCCGGGUGUCGGCGGUGGCCGCGCCGCCCCCAUUCCCCUCCCGGCGGCGUGGGGGGGCGGCCUGAGACGGCCGUGCGGGCCUGGGACCCGCGGGUUGCCCUGAGGCCACGCACAAGGACGGCGGCCGGGCCCGGCGUGGGGGGAGCUGGUGUUCGCGGUGUGACCGCUCGGGCGGGAGAGACACGCGCGGGUCGUGGCAGGACUGAGCCCAGACCCCCACCAUCGUUGGUACAUUGGUACCCUACUGCAGAAACAGUGCGUUUUUUAAUAAAUCAGGUGAUAAUUUGCAUCUUUACAUGACCCCAAUCACAAAACCAUCAAAUCAUAAAAUCAGAUUUCCAAUAUAUCCUAUUAUAUUUCACCCAGCUAACCCACACGCACACACACCCCCACACACACCAGUCAUAUAAUAUUAUGUACAAAUUGUUUUCCAGACCCUCAUUUAAAACCACCCAUACUUCCCUGUAUCAUAACCCCGGGCAAUGCAUGUAGCUGCUUAGCCUUUGCUUUUGCUCAACACUGCAGAUCUUUGCCUUUUCUGAACUUCAUCGAACAGUAGUUUCAAGUUUCCUUGGAGCUCAUCAAUAAAAAUACCAAGCCAUAUCAUAGCAUCACAGAAUCAUUAAGGUUGGAAAAGACCUCUAGGAUCAUCAAGUCCAACCACCAAGCCAACACUACCAUGCCUCCUAAACCAUGCCCUGAAGUGCCACGUCUACACAUCUUUUAAAUACCCCCAGGGAUGGUGACUCCACCACCUCUCUGGGCAGCCUGUUCCAAUGCCUGACCACUCUUGCAGUAAAGAAAUUUUUCCUAAUAUCCAAUCUAAACCUCCCCUGACGCAGCCUGAAGCCGUUUCCUCUUGUUCUAUCGCUAGCAAUAUGGGAGAAGCGACCAACACCCACCUCGCUACAACCUCCUUUCAAGUAGUUGCAGAGAGCGAUAAGGUGUCCCCUCAGCCUCCUCUUCUCUAGACUAAACAAUCUGAAGCCCACCAGAAAUCCUGCUCUUCAGUGAUGAAAUUUCUCCUUUGGUUUGCUUUGGAUUGAUGUCACACUACCUAAACUGGAGCCCACUAUGGAUGUCUUGCUGCCACUUCAGAGACCUGGCAUGCAGGUUAAAGGAGAGGCAAAAGCAGUAGGUGUUGGUGAAAAGGCUGGUGGAUUCUUCCAUUUGAAAUUAAAUAACUGGGUGUUUUUGCACUCCAGACCAAAGUGCAACCUAGAAAUGCCCACUAUUACUCUAAAUAUAAUGAACCAGUCUAGGCACAGCAGCAGCUAUUUUGCCAGGCUUCUGAGAAGCUGUCAGCAGCAUAGGCACACCCUUCAAAACAGCAGCAAAUGUUCUUUGACUACCCUGCAAAGAUUGGCUCUCUUUUUGCCAGCUUCCUCCUUACAAAACUGAGGGGCCUUCAGCUCAAUCACACACAGGAGCAUGGACUAUCCCCUUGUCCUGGCGUGGUUCUCUGACACUUCCCCAUUUCUGGGAAUACCUACAUUACUGUGUCAAGUAAUAUCUAUAAAAAGGCAAAGGUAUGUAAAUAAAAUUUUUAUGGUUUUUGAAACCAUAAAACCAUCCAAGUCUCGUGCAAACAUAGAGCUUUGAAAUAAAUGUUUUCAGUUCUUGUGUGAGUUAACUUAAAUAAUGGUAUGCUUUCUCCAGCUUAAUUCACAGAUAAUGAAAUAACUCCUUUACAUGGCAGGCUGAAAACACAUGGCUUAUAAAAGUGAGACAAGAAGGGGACAGAGACAUUCAUGUUAAUUCAAAAAAUUUAAAGCAUUAGCUUACUGAAGUGCUUAACGGUGUUAUGCAGCAAUACAUUUGAAUCAGUGCUUUAAGAUACUUUUUUAUUAUGAAACAUCAUUUCACAUUUAACUGUGUAUUUGUGUAAGUGAAACUGGAUGUCUGAGGGCCCCAGUCUAUUCUGAAAAUACAAAUUUAAUACCAUAUACAGCAAGCAUGAGCCUGGAAUUUCCUUGCCUUUCUACAGUCCGUACUAUACAUGCUGAAUUCCUGUAUGGUGUCUUACAUUUCCAUUCUUCUUUGUCAUUCAAUUAAGGAAAUACCCUAUUUUGUAGAGACUGAGGAACAGAUACUGAGGGUUAGAUGCAUCCUGAUUAUGAGUGGCUUUCUGUGUGCCCAGCUUUAAAUAGGUAAGCCUUGAUUUUCAAAAAUGUGACUAUUUGCUGCUGAGGUGGAGUAAGACUGGUUUUCUAGAGCUAGGUGGUCCAGCACUGAGAGGAUCCUUUCGAAAAUUUGACUCCAAAUGAUUUGCUCAUCUCCACAGUCUAGCCAAGUUUGAGGUUCUCACCUGCUUGCUUCUCUUUCCUCCCCUUACUCAAUACUGCUGGCCGUGCAGUUAGAGAAUAGAAGCUAAAGUAAGUCUUUGAUUUUAUGAAGUCAAUGGUAAAAUUAUUAACUCUGAUGUAAGAAGGAUUCCAUCCAUGAAAGUCAUAUUACAAGAGUGAAAAAUAUAAAAAUAAAUGAGCAGUUGCUUAGAUUUAGAAAUUUGCAACACAUAUGUGCAAGAAAAGAUUGUUAAGCAUUAAAAAACAGAUGAGCACAAGGCCAGGAGAUUCAGUCAAAAAUUACUCUGUCAUGAAGGUUUUAAAUCAUAGUUUGAAAAAUACUUUGAAAUCUUAGAACAGCUUUGGGGACUACCUUUUUCUCCAUCAUGCCUCACUUUAAAUUCCACCUCAAAACCCAAGAAUGUACAAGAAAAAGAAAACACACUUUAACAACCCUAUGAUUUUACCUUCUAAUGCACCAUAAUAUCACUGGCAUGAUAAUUUGUGACUCUUAGAGUAUAACCUGACACGACAGUAAAGAAUUUAUUACUCCUCUGUCUAUGGGGAAAAAUCCAUUUAUAAAUUUGAACUCAAUAUUGCUGCAUUCAGUGCAAAAAAAAUCCAAAGCCCUAAAAAGCUAGUAGUCACAAUGAACAAGGAGAGAUCAUUCGCACUGUCUCUCACUGCUUUGUGUCCUGACACACAGUAGCAGGUUUUCACUUAAUAAAAAGUACGCACACAUAAACCUUUUAAAUUGGUUUUUGAAAUCCUACUCUGAAAACAAUUUUCAGAACAUUCUGGCAGGUACCAUUUAUACAGAGAAGGGUUAUAUUAAUGCCAGCCUCCAGAAUUAAGUGAGACUUGCUACAUUUCUUAGUGUUGCCCCGUGCCAGACAUCACCUCUGAAGAGAUGGCUAGCAGCUCAUCUUUGAGUCUGCCUAGGAUCAGGGCGGGAUCCCCCAGCCUCAGAUUCAUUUGGAUAUGCAUUGCUCCCUGAUACUCUGCUGGGAUUCAAGAGGUUCCUGUCUGCCGAGCUCCAAAAGUCUGAGUUUGCCAUCCAGGAUCAUCAACUGGAAGCCCUCAGUGCAUGAAAUUAGGGCGCCAUAGAGGAAUCAUCUCCACAACAAUACUUCUAAGGAAAGGAAAUUAUGGACAACAGCAACCCAGCCUAGCUGCCUUUCAAGAUGCUAAAUUCAAGUGCUGGACCUGAAUGACAGUGAGCUCUCCUUACUGCUAGUAAUGAGCUUCCUGGAAGACGACAUGAGGCCCAGGAGUUGUCAGCUACCACCAGUAUGACCUAAUGUUAGAGGAUGGUGGUUUUGGAAAACUAGGGAUCCCAUAAGCUGGUGCCAACAUACAGAAGCUAUUGGAGGGUGGUGGCUAGUGAAAAGCAGCUGUAAAUUGACUGCAGAUAAAUUAAAACUGCUACUUACCAGAGUUUCUCAUGUGAAACCUCUUCACAGCUGGAUGACAUUUCUAUAGAUAAGGCAGAAAGUGAUAAUUCCACAGACAUUGUUUUUUUUCUGCAGACAAUGGAUUACAGAAGAUGUCAAACAUGCCAUGAAUGACAUAUAUAUGUCUCACAGGCUUUAUUAAAUAUCGAACUAGCAGAGCUUGGGAUGUAUGUAAACAUUAAAAAAAAAAAAAAAAGGUACAGCAUAAUUAAUCAAUGUCUAGAAGGGGGGCUUUCUGAAAACUUGAGAGUUGUAGGAUAGAUUCCCCUGGUCAGCCAGAUGUAGAGAUUUGACUUGGAACUCUGCCAAUAGAAACCAUAGCAUUAGCAGUAAUGUUGAACUCUGCUUGGAAAACAUGCUUGGCAUUAUCAGAGCUUUAGGAAGCAAGACAAGUUCUUUGCUUUUAAUUCAAAGUUCUGACAUGGGACUGCUCCCUGUUAAAGCUUCAGAAGAAUCUAAAAACAAACACAACCUUUUCAUUAUCCACAAAGACUGAUGAAGCCUUGAUGCAGUGUGCAGAGCAAAUAGUUUGAAAGAGAUGUCAAAAAAUCCUACUUAAAAAGACCUGUUUCUAAAAAAGUAGAGAACAAACAAACAUGUUUGGUAAUGUCAUAAAGCUUAUUGUCCUCUAUAUAGCCUAUAUGGUCCUCUAUGUAGCCCUUUACAAUUAAAUCCCUUUUAAAAAAGUUCAGCGAUACCUUUUUUUGUGCCUUGGCUAUUGGCUCUUGUUUCAUAGCUUUGUGUGGUGUCUCAGCACCCUCUCAUUCUUUUGUCUGUAAGAAACAUAAGACAGAAGCUGUUUCACUGUUCCCUCAGAGUACCUGGUAUUUAACGUACAAACCAGAAUUGCCAUGCCAAAUAGCAAAUGCUCAACUAUGAUUGGAUAUAACCAAACCCUUCUUGUGUACGUUUAUGCUCUUCACACACCCAGGCUAGUAACACUUUUAAGAACCUAAUGCAGUGUGUAGCAUAAGGCCACCUAUCUUCUUCUUUGGCAUUAAUGCAGCCAUCCUAAAUUUCCUCAAGCUGUCUAAAAGGGCUUUGCCAUAUGACACAGCAACACCAGCUUGUGCUGCAACAAAAUGCUGAGUACAGCAUGGUUGCCAGACAAUAGCAUUAUCUCUUGAUCAGACACAAGAGAGAUGAACUUGAUUCAAGGGCCUAUGAAUAUUACAUAGGUCUGGCAUUCCUAGGGGUUGUUAAUCAGAGUGUUAUUUUUGCAGUGAGUGUGCUGAGAUUAGGUAAGAAUUUUCUUCUUUUGUGUAAGAUCUCGGAAACUUGUUAUUAUAGCAACUUUAGUCUUACUUUUAAGAGUCAGGAAGUUUCUAGUCUCAAGGUUGUCAAGAAAACAGAUAUUAAAUAUGCUCUGACAAGCCCUUACCUGCCUUUCU